rnacentral:rRNA from 1 species
GUUUGGUUAAGUUAGAAAGGGCGCACGGUGGAUGCCUUGACACUAGGAGUCGAUGAAGGACGGGACUAACGCCGAUAUGCUUCGGGGAGCUGUAAGUAAGCUUUGAUCCGAAGAUUUCCGAAUGGGGAAACCCACCAUACGUAAUGGUAUGGUAUCCUUAUCUGAAUACAUAGGGUAAGGAAGACAGACCCAGGGAACUGAAACAUCUAAGUACCUGGAGGAAGAGAAAGCAAAUGCGAUUUCCUGAGUAGCGGCGAGCGAAACGGAACAUAGCCCAAACCAAGAGGCUUGCCUCUUGGGGUUGUAGGACAUUCUAUACGGAGUUACAAAGGAACGAGGUAGACGAAGCGACCUGGAAAGGUCCGUCGUAGAGGGUAACAACCCCGUAGUCGAAACUUCGUUCUCUCUUGAAUGUAUCCUGAGUACGGCGGAACACGUGAAAUUCCGUCGGAAUCUGGGAGGACCAUCUCCCAAGGCUAAAUACUUCCUAGUGAUCGAUAGUGAACCAGUACCGUGAGGGAAAGGUGAAAAGCACCCCGGAAGGGGAGUGAAAGAGAUCCUGAAACCGUGUGCCUACAAAUAGUCAGAGCCCGUUAACGGGUGAUGGCGUGCCUUUUGUAGAAUGAACCGGCGAGUUACGAUCC